UACGUAGGAGGCGAGCGUUGUCCGGAAUUACUGGGCGUAAAGCGCGCGUAGGUGGGAGGUCAAGUCUGCGGUGAAAGCGCCCGGCUCAACUGGGCAUGGUCCGUGGAAACUGGUCACCUGGAGGACGGUAGAGGCGAGUGGAAUUCCCGGUGUAGUGGUGAAAUGCGUAGAGAUCAGGAGGAACACCAGUGGCGAAGGCGGCUCGCUGGGCCGGUCCUGACACUGAGGCGCGAAAGCCAGGGGAGCAAACGGG
rnacentral:rRNA from 1 species